rnacentral:rRNA from 1 species
GUGUCAGCCGCCGCGGUAAUACGUACUGUGCAAACGUUAUUCGGAAUCACUGGGCUUAAAGGGUGUGUAGGCGGCCAGCUAAGUAGGGUGUGAAAGGCCUCGGCUCAACCGGGGCAUUGCGCUCUAAACUGACUGGCUUGAGUAAGAUAGGGGUGUGCGGAACUUCCAGUGGAGCGGUGAAAUGUGUUGAUAUUGGAAAGAACGCCGGUGGCGAAAGCGGCACACUGGGUCUUGACUGACGCUGAGACACGAAAGCCAGGGUAGCGAACGGGAUUAGAUACCCCGGUAGUCCUGGCUGUAAACGAUGAGCACUAGUUGGGAGGGGCCUCGGCCCAUCCGAACGCAGCGAAAGCAUUAAGUGCUCCGCCUGGGGAGUAUGGUCGCAAGGCUGAA